rnacentral:rRNA from 1 species
GACGAACGCUGGCGGCGUGCUUAACACAUGCAAGUCGGACGAAGAGUUACUGGCGGAUCUUUCGGGAGAAGCUGGUAAUAACUUAGUGGCGGACGGGUGAGUAACGCGUGAACGAUCUACCCUUGGGAGGGGGAUACCGUCUGGAAACGGACGUUAAGACCCCGUAAGCCGGAAGGUGAAAAGGUUUCGACCUGCCCAGGGAUGGGUUCGCGUCCUAUCAGCUGGUUGGUGGGGUAAGGGCCUACCAAGGCGAAGACGGGUAGCCGGUCUGAGAGGAUGGACGGCCACACUGGAACUGAGACACGGUCCAGGCUCCUACGGGAGGCAGCAGUGGGGAAUAUUGGGCAAUGGGCGGAAGCCUGACCCAGCGACGCCGCGUGAGGGAAGACGGCCUUUGGGUUGUAAACCUCUGUUGUACGGGAAGAAGCGAGUGACGGUACCGUACGAGGAAGCCCCGGCAAACUACGUGCCAGCAGCCGCGGUAACACGUAGGGGGCGAGCGUUGUCCGGAAUUACUGGGCGUAAAGGGCACGCAGGCGGAGAUGCAAGUCUGCUGUGAAAUGUCAGGGCUCAACCCUGGAGUUGCGGUAGAAACUGCAUGUCUAGAGUACUGGAGAGGGAAGCGGAAUUCCCGGUGUAGCGGUGAAAUGCGUAGAUAU